GAACCGCUACAAAGACGUGCUGCCAUAUGAUCAGACGCGAGUAAUCCUCUCCCUGCUCCGGGAAGAGGGACACAGCGACUACAUUAAUGGCAACUUCAUCCGGGGCGUGGAUGGAAGCCUGGCCUACAUUGCCACGCAAGGACCCUUGCCUCACACCCUGUUAGACUUCUGGAGACUGGUCUGGGAGUUUGGGGUCAAGGUGAUCCUGAUGGCCUGUCGAGAGAUAGAGAAUGGGCGGGUAGGUGUCCUCUGCCCCCAGGUUUCAUGUCCCUGUGCAAGGAGGAGGGAGGAGGAGGAGGGAUCUUGCUAGCUCCUCCUGGACCCCAGGACCCGAGGGUCCAGCUCUUGGAGUGACCUUACUGUGGCUCUGUGGGAAGCCCCAUUGUUCCUCUAAGUUUUUGUUGAUAUGUUAUUCUUCCCCAGUGUUGGCAACCCCUCUCCUGCUGGGCUUCCCAGCCAUUUCACACCUUAGACCAUAAGGCCCUAUUCUGACUGCUUCCCCUGUAGGCUCUGAUCUCUCU
rnacentral:sRNA from 1 species